rnacentral:rRNA from 1 species
CCUACGGGCGGCAGCAGUAGGGAAUCUUCCACAAUGGGCGAAAGCCUGAUGGAGCAACGCCGCGUGGGUGAAGAAGGUCCUCGGAUCGUAAAACCCUGUUGUUAGAGAAGAAAGUGCGUGAGAGUAACUGUUCACGUUUCGACGGUAUCUAACCAGAAAGCCACGGUUAACUACGUGCCAGCAGCCGCGGUAAUGCGUAGGUGCCAAGCGUGAGCCGGUUUUAUUGGGCGUAAAGGGAACGCAGGCGGGCUUUUAAGUCUAAUGUGAAAGCCUUCGGCUUAACCGGAGUAGUGCAGUGGAAACUGGGAGACUUGAGUGCAGAAGAGGAGAGUGGAA